rnacentral:rRNA from 1 species
GAUGAACGCUGGCGGCGUGCCUAACACAUGCAAGUCGAGCGGAGACCUGUGAAGUAGUAAUACGGAACAGAUCUUAGCGGCGGACGGGUGAGUAACACGUGAGUAAUCUGCCUUUUGCUGGGGAAUAACAUUGUGAAAACAGUGCUAAUACCGCAUGACAUCCGACUGGGGCAUCCCAGACGGAUCAAAGGAGAAAUCCGGCAAAAGAUGAACUCGCGUCCGAUUAGCUAGUUGGUGAGGUAGUGGCUCACCAAGGCGACGAUCGGUAGCCGAACUGAGAGGUUGAUCGGCCACAUUGGGACUGAGACACGGCCCAGACACCUACGGGUGGCUG